GAUGAACGCUGGCGGCGUGCCUAAUACAUGCAAGUAGAACGCUGAAGGAAGGAGCUUGCUCUUUCCGGAUGAGUUGCGAACGGGUGAGGAACGCGUAGGUAACCUGCCUGGUAGCGGGGGAUAACUAUUGGAAACGAUAGCUAAUACCGCAUAACAGUAGAUGUUGCAUGAUAUCUACUUAAAAGGUGCAAUUGCACCACUACCAGAUGGACCUGCGUUGUAUUAGCUAGUUGGUGAGGUAACGGCUCACCAAGGCGACGAUACAUAGCCGACCUGAGAGGGUGAUCGGCCACACUGGGACUGAGACACGGCCCAGACUCCUACGGGAGGCAGCAGUAGGGAAUCUUCGGCAAUGGACGGAAGUCUGACCGAGCAACGCCGCGUGAGUGAAGAAGGUUUUCGAAUCGUAAAGCUCUGUUGUAAGAGAAGAACGAGUGUGAGAGUGGAAAGUUCACACUGUGACGGUAUCUUACCAGAAAGGGACGGCUAACUACGUG
rnacentral:rRNA from 1 species